GAUGAACGCUAGCUACAGGCUUAACACAUGCAAGUCGAGGGGAAACGACAUCGAAAGCUUGCUUUUGAUGGGCGUCGACCGGCGCACAGGUGAGUAACGCGUAUCCAACCUGCCCAUCACUUGGGGAUAACCUUGCGAAAGUAAGACUAAUACCCAAUGAUAUCUCUAGAAGACAUCUGAAAGAGAUUAAAGAUUUAUCGGUGAUGGAUGGGGAUGCGUCUGAUUAGCUUGUUGGCGGGGUAACGGCCCACCAAGGCAACGAUCAGUAGGGGUUCUGAGAGGAAGGUCCCCCACAUUGGAACUGAGACACGGUCCAAACUCCUACGGGAGGCAGCAGUGAGGAAUAUUGGUCAAUGGGCGAGAGCCUGAACCAGCCAAGUAGCGUGCAGGAAGACGGCCCUAUGGGUUGUAAACUGCUUUUAUAAGGGAAUAAAGUGAGAGUCGUGACUCUUUUUGUAUGUACCUUAUGAAUAAGGACCGGCUAAUUCCGUG
rnacentral:rRNA from 1 species